UUAGCAAGAUGAGUGAUUGCUCUUAGCGUAAGCUAAGGGAGGAAAGUCCGAACACCCACUCCUUCAAAGAGGGUUAAAAUAAUAGUGGCUAACAGCCACCUGUAGUAAUACACGAGGUGCGAACAGUAACGCCAAGACCGAAAGGUUAAGGUACCCUCACAGACGGGAAUUUCCGCUAAAGCGGAUAAUUCUCGCGUCUCGACGGGGUAAGUUUUACAGUAAUGUAAAAAUGAAACGGCUAAAUCCUUAUUGGGCGCAAGAACAAAGCAGAAAUUUGGGUUACAUCUCAAAAAUCUGUUAAAAGUAGUUCGCCAGAGCUAAACAGUAAUGUUUGGCCCAGAUAGAUAAUCACUAAACCCGCCUCCGCCAAAGGCUAUAGCGGGUGAGACAGAAUUCGGCUUAUAGUCUUGCUAAUCCA
rfam:Parcubacteria bacterium GW2011_GWA1_33_6 TR46_C0010, whole genome shotgun sequence.